UUGACCUCGAAUCAGGUAGGAAUACCCGCUGAACUUAAGCAUAUCAAUAAGCGGAGGAAAAGAAACCAACAGGGAUUGCCCCAGUAACGGCGAGUGAAGCGGCAACAGCUCAAAUUUGAAAUCUGGCUCUCGGGCCCGAGUUGUAAUUUGUAGAGGAUGCUUUUGGUGAGGUGCCUUCCGAGUUCCCUGGAACGGGACGCCAUAGAGGGUGAGAGCCCCGUCUGGUUGGACACCGAUCCUCUGUAAAGCUCCUUCGACGAGUCGAGUAGUUUGGGAAUGCUGCUCUAAAUGGGAGGUAUAUGUCUUCUAAAGCUAAAUACCGGCCAGAGACCGAUAGCGCACAAGUAGAGUGAUCGAAAGAUGAAAAGAACUUUGAAAAGAGAGUUAAACAGUACGUGAAAUUGUUGAAAGGGAAGCGCUUGUGACCAGACUUGGGCUUGGUUGAUCAUCCGGGGUUCUCCCCGGUGCACUCUUCCGGCCCAGGCCAGCAUCAGUUCGCCCUGGGGGACAAAGGCUUCGGGAAUGUGGCUCUCUCCGGGGAGUGUUAUAGCCCGUUGCGUAAUACCCUGUGGCGGACUGAGGUUCGCGCAUUCGCAAGGAUGCUGGCGUAAUGGUCAUCAGUGACCCGUCUUGAAACACGGACCAAGGAGUCGUCUUCGUAUGCGAGUGUUCGGGUGUCAAACCCCUACGCGAAAUGAAAGUGAACGCAGGUGAGAGCUUCGGCGCAUCAUCGACCGAUCCUGAUGUUAUCGGAUGGAUUUGAGUAAGAGCAUACGGGGCCGGACCCGAAAGAAGGUGAACUAUGCCUGUGUAGGGUGAAGCCAGAGGAAACUCUGGUGGAGGCUCGCAGCGGUUCUGACGUGCAAAUCGAUCGUCAAACAUGGGCAUGGGGGCGAAAGACUAAUCGAACCUUCUAGUAGCUGGUUUCCGCCGAAGUUUCCCUCAGGA
rnacentral:rRNA from 1 species